UACGUAGGGUGCGAGCGUUUAAUCGGAAUUAUUGGGCGUAAAGAGCUCGUAGGCGGUUUGUCGCGUCUGCUGUGAAAACGCGAGGCUCAACCUCGCGCCUGCAGUGGGUACGGGCAGACUAGAGUGCGGUAGGGGAGAUUGGAAUCCUGGUGUAGCGGUGGAAUGCGCAGAUAUCAGGAGGAACACCGAUGGCGAAGGCAGAUCUCUGGGCCGUUACUGACGCUGAGGAGCGAAAGCGUGGGAGCGAACAGG
rnacentral:rRNA from 1 species